rnacentral:rRNA from 1 species
UGGGGAAUAUUGGACAAUGGGCGAAAGCCUGAUCCAGCCAUGCCGCGUGUGUGAAGAAGGUCUUCGGAUUGUAAAGCACUUUAAGUUGGGAGGAAGGGCAGUAAGCGAAUACCUUGCUGUUUUGACGUUACCGACAGAAUAAGCACCGGCUAACUCUGUCCCAGCAGCCGCGGUAAUACAGAGGGUGCAAGCGUUAAUCGGAAUUACUGGGCGUAAAGCGCGCGUAGGUGGUUCGUUAAGUUGAAUGUGAAAGCCCCGGGCUCAACCUGGGAACUGCAUCCAAAACUGGCGAGCUAGAGUAGGGCAGAGGGUGGUGGAAUUUCCUGUGUAGCGGUGAAAUGCGUAGAUAUAGGAAGGAACACCAGUGGCGAAGGCGACCACCUGGGCUCAUACUGACACUGAGGUGCGAAAGCGUGGGGAGCAAACAGG